rnacentral:rRNA from 1 species
CCUACGGGAGGCAGCAGUGAGGAAUAUUGGUCAAUGGACGAGAGUCUGAACCAGCCAAGUAGCGUGAAGGAUGACUGCCCUAUGGGUUGUAAACUUCUUUUAUAUGGGAAUAAAAUGUUCCACGUGUGGGAUUUUGUAUGUACCAUAUGAAUAAAGAUCGGCUAACUCCGUGCCAGCAGCCGCGGUAAUACGGAGGAUCCGAGCGUUAUCCGGAUUUAUUGGGUUUAAAGGGAGCGUAGGUGGAUUGUUAAGUCAGUUGUGAAAGUGUGCGGCUCAACCGUGAAAUUGCAGUUGAAACUGGCAGUCUUGAGUACAGUAGAGGUGGGCGGAAUUCGUGGUGUAGCGGUGAAAUGCUUAGAUAUCACGAAGAACUCCGAUUGCGAAGGCAGUUCACUGGACUGCAACUGACACUGAGGCUCGAAAGUGUGGGUAUCAAACAGGAUUAGAUACCCUAGUAGUC